rnacentral:rRNA from 1 species
CCUACGGGUGGCAGCAGUGAGGAAUAUUGGUCAAUGGACGAGAGUCUGAACCAGCCAAGUAGCGUGAAGGAUGACUGCUCUAUGGGUUGUAAACUUCUUUUAUAUGGGAAUAAAAUGUUCCACGUGUGGGAUUUUGAAUGUACCAUAUGAAUAAGGAUCGGCUAACUCCGUGCCAGCAGCCGCGGUAAUACGGAGGAUUCGAGCGUUAUCCGGAUUUAUUGGGUUUAAAGGGAGCGUAGGUGGAUCGUUAAGUCAGGUGUGAAAGUUUGGGGCUCAACCGUGAAAUUGCAGUUGAAACUGGCAGGCUUGAGUGCAGUAGAGGUAGGCGGAAUGCGUGGUGUAGCGGUGAAAUGCUUAGAUAUCACGAAGAACUCCGAUUGCGAAGGCAGCUCACUGGACUGCAACUGACGCUGAGGCUCGAAAGUGUGGGUAGCAAACAGGAUUAGAUACCCUAGUAGUC